rnacentral:misc_RNA from 1 species
GGAGGCCCUUCUAUGGUGCCUAACCUUAUGGGACCAUUUAGUUCUAGAUAUGUGGCCCUGCACUGCAACCGUCGAGGGAGAAGAGACGUUCAAGUAGCCUUCAGAAUUGGCAUGCUUGCUAGUCAACUUACUAGAGAAGAAAUUCAUAACAUUUUUGGGGAGUACAACCUGCCACCGUAUCUGCUCGCUUACACACCGAAGGAACACAUACGGGCGAAU